rnacentral:rRNA from 1 species
GAUGAACGCUAGCUACAGGCUUAACACAUGCAAGUCGAGGGGCAGCAUGGUCUUAGCUUGCUAAGGCCGAUGGCGACCGGCGCACGGGUGAGUAACACGUAUCCAACCUGCCGUCUACUCUUGGACAGCCUUCUGAAAGGAAGAUUAAUACAAGAUGGCAUCAUGAGUCCGCAUGUUCACAUGAUUAAAGGUAUUCCGGUAGACGAUGGGGAUGCGUUCCAUUAGAUAGUAGGCGGGGUAACGGCCCACCUAGUCUUCGAUGGAUAGGGGUUCUGAGAGGAAGGUACCACACAUGGGAACUGAGACACGGACCAAAAGCCUACGGGAGGCAGCAGUGAGGAAUAUUGGUCAAUGGGCGAGAGCAUGAAACAGCCAAGUAGCGUGAAGGAGGACUGCCCUAUGGGUUGUAAACUUCUUUUAUAAAGGAAUAAAGUCGGGUAUGGAUACCCGUUUGCAUGUAAUUUAUGAAUAAGGAUCGGCUAACUCCGUG